CCUAAUUGAAAAUUCUUCGGAAAAUGGACAUAGAUACAAGCUAGCGGCGGAUGGGGUGGAGUAAACGCGUGGGUAACCUGCCCUUAAAGUCUGGGAUACCAUUUGGAAACAGAUGCUAAUACCGGAUAAAAGCUACUUUCGCAUGAAAGAAGUUUAAAAGGCGGCGUAAGCUGUCGCUAAAAGGGGAUGGACCUGCGAUGCAUUAGCUAGUUGGUAAGGUAACGGCUUACCAAGGCGAUGAUGCAUAGCCCGAGUUGAGAGACUGAUCGGCCACAUUGGGACUGAGACACGGCCCAAACUCCUACGGGAGGCAGCAGUAGGGAAUCUUCCACAAUGGACGCAAGUCUGAUGGAGCAACGCCGCGUGAGUGAAGAAGGUUUUCGGAUCGUAAAGCUCUGUUGUUGGUGAAGAAGGAUAGAGGUAGUAACUGGGCCUUUAUUUGACGGUAAUCAACCAGAAAGUCACGGCUAACUACGUGCCAGCAGCCGCGGUAAU
rnacentral:rRNA from 1 species